UUAUAGUUAGGCUGACCAUGCUCUUUUCUCCAGUGGGAGCUCAGUGUGCAAUGGCUGCAAACAGCAGCAUCCUCAGUAGUGUAUGCAGCCUGUUGCUUGUAUGGGUUGCCCUAAGGGACCUUGGAGACAGCC